rfam:Myotis davidii contig36367, whole genome shotgun sequence.
AUUUCAGUAUAAGUGUGUCCCAUGCAAUAUUUGGGACAUACUUACACUAAAA